UACGUAGGGUGCGAGCGUUGUCCGGAAUUAUUGGGCGUAAAGAGCUCGUAGGCGGUCUGUCGCGUCGAUCGUGAAAACUUGGGGCUUAACCCUGAGCUUGCGGUCGAUACGGGCAUGACUGGAGUUCGGCAGGGGAGACUGGAAUUCCUGGUGUAGCGGUGAAAUGCGCAGAUAUCAGGAGGAACACCGGUGGCGAAGGCGGGUCUCUGGACAGGUCCCGACGCUGAGGCGCGAAGGCCAGGGGAGCAAACGGG
rnacentral:rRNA from 1 species